GACGAACGCUGGCGGCGUGCUUAACACAUGCAAGUCGAACGGAAAGGCCCCCACCUUGGUGGGGGUGCUCGAGUGGCGAACGGGUGAGUAACACGUGGGUGAUCUGCCCUGUACUUCGGGAUAAGCUUGGGAAACUGGGUCUAAUACCGGAUAGGACCAUGGUUUAGUGUCUCAUGGUGGAAAAAUUAUUGUUUUGGUGCAGGAUGAGCUCGCGGCCUAUCAGCUUGUUGGUGGGGUAAUGGCCUACCAAGGCGUCGACGGGUAGCCGGCCUGAGGGGGUGGACGGCCACAUUGGGACCGGGAUACGGCCCAGACUCCUACGGGAGGCAGCAGUGGGGAAUAUUGCACAAUGGGCGCAAGCCUGAUGCAGCGACGCCGCGUGGGGGAUGACGGCCGUCGGGUUGUAAACUCCUUUCGUUAGGGACGAAGCCACACCUUUUUUGGGUGUGGUGACGGUACCUUUGUUAAGAAGCACCGGCUAACUACGUG
rnacentral:rRNA from 1 species